rnacentral:rRNA from 1 species
UACGGGGGGGAGCAAGCGUUGUUCGGAUUUACUGGGCGUAAAGGGCGCGUAGGCGGCCUGUGCAAGUCAGUUGUGAAAUCUCCGGGCUUAACUCGGAACGGUCAACUGAUACUGCUCGGCUAGAGUGCGGAAGGGGCAACUGGAAUUCUUGGUGUAGCGGUGAAAUGCGCAGAUAUCAGGAGGAACACCAGCGGCGAAGGCGGCGCUCUGGGCCGGUACUGACACUGAGGAGCGAAAGCGUGGGUAGCAAACAGG